GACGAACGCUGGCGGCGUGCUUAACACAUGCAAGUCGAACGGAAAGUCCCUGCUUUUGUGGGGUGCUCGAGUUGCGAACGGGUGAGUAACACGUGAGUAACCUGCCCUUGACUUUGGGAUAACUUCAGGAAACUGGGGCUAAUACCGGAUAGGAGCUCCUGCUGCAUGGUGGGGGUUGGAAAGUUUCGGCGGUUGGGGAUGGACUCGCGGCUUAUCAGCUUGUUGGUGGGGUAGUGGCUUACCAAGGCUUUGCCGGGUAGCCGGCCUGAGCGGGUGACCGGCCACAUUGGGACGGGGAUACGGCCCAGACUACUACGGGAGGCAGCAGUGGGGAAUAGUGCAUAAUGGGCGGAAGCAUGAUGCAGCAAAGCCGCGUGCGGGAUGACGGCCUGCGGGUUGUAAACCGCUGUCGCCUGUGACGAAGCGUGAGUGACGGUAAUGGGUAAAGAAGCACCGGCUAACUACGUG
rnacentral:rRNA from 1 species